rnacentral:lncRNA from 1 species
UGAUUGAUUGAUUGAUUGAUUGAUUUAAGAGAGAGAGUGAGUGUGUGUGUGUGUGUGUGUGUGUGAGCAGAGGGAGGGGCAGAGAGAGAGGGGGUAGAAGAUAAACAAGACUCCCUGCUGAGCACAGAGCCCACAGCACCUGGAGGCUCAAGGCCCAGGGCUUGAUCUCUCAACCCUGAGAUCCUGACCUGAGCCAAAAUCAAGUCCAAGCCUUAACAAAUUGAGACACCUAGGCACCCCACAUACUAACAGUCUUAAUGUCACUGUUUCUAGAAACGGAAGACUGAACUCUGUUAAAUAGCCAAAUAAAGAAUUUCUUAAGAAGCUACUUCACUAUUUUAAUAAGUAACUAAAUUAAUAGGCACACUAAGUUGGAGCAAUUGCGAUAUGCACAGGAAAACAAAAUGAAUUUUAUUGGUUGGGGGAAAAUGUUCAAACAAAAUAUUAAUUCCUAUGAUUCCUUGAAUUUCAACAAUAUCUGUUAAAAAGUGCUUCUGGGGACAUAAUACUAACAUAUAGUAUAAAAAAAAGGCAAAUGUUUUCAAAAGGUUUAGAAUGCAAUCUGUCCACAUAAAUUAAUGCUUUAUUUUGGUUAUAUAACUUCAUCUAAUUAUAAUUGCAUUUGAAGGAAACUUAAUUUUCUAGGUCAAGAAAAUUGCCAUAGAAAGUCUAAAAUUUCUCAGAUCAGUGGCAAACUCACCAAAGAGGAUAUAUUAUUAGAGAUACAUACAUGCUCAUAUACACAGCAUUAUCCUUCUUCUAAAAUUACCAGCAAGAGUUCAAAUAUAGCCAGCCCCAAACAUUGUGAAGGUAAAAGUGAAAAAAACACAAUUGUCUUCUGGGUAUGCAAUCCCUUACAUUUUUCUGAUGACAUAAAGGUAAGCCACCACACAAUAGGGAAAUUUUGAAGCAACACUUAACCAGGAAAACAAAAUAGCCUGAAAUGAAUUAUAAAGACCUUCCAUGGUUACCAAAACUUUCAUGGGAAAACUUGAUUGCUAUGCAUUCAUUUGAUAGAGUUAAAAAUACUCCAGCUGAAUGGCAUCAUAAAGUGGCCUUCAUGUUAUCAUCUUGACUUAUAACCCAUCUUAGUUCUAAUAUAUAAGUGGUGUUCCAAUUUUAGCCUGACAAAUGUGGAAACACCAGUGAACUGUAUAUAUAAUGGGGUAAAAAACAUGAAGCUAAGCAGCAAGAUCCUUGUAUUUUAGGUCUGUCUUGUCUCUACUAGCUGGCCUUCAUAAUGAAGAUAACUACUCAACCUCUCAGUGUCUCUGUUUUCUCUACUGUAAAAUGAGGCAGUUGAACUAGAUGACCUCAAAAUAUCCUACCCCAGCUUUGAUGAUUUAUUUUUUUUAAUAUUUGUUUAUUUAUUUAUUUAUGAUAGACAUAGAGAGGGAGAGAGGCAGAAACACAGGAGGAGGGAGAAGCAGGCUCCAUGCCAGGAGCCCGAUGCAGGACUCGAUCCCGGGACUCCAGGAUCACGCCCUGGGCCAAAGGCAGGCGCUAAACCGCUGAGCCACCCAGGGAUCCCUAGCUUUGAUGAUUUAAAAUAAUACUUCAAUCUACUCAAAUAUUUACCUAUCCCACUACAAAAUGCUUUCUAGAAUAAAAAGUAAAUCAACCAACAAGUAUUUAUUGAAUGCUUAAUAAGAGCUAGGUAAAUUACCUAAUUGUUGGGGAAAACACCCUAAUCCAACACAAUGCAAUCUGAAAGAAUGCUGGGUUUCAGUUUUAAAAUUGUGUGUAAGUGUGAGGGGGGUAGGCAUAAGACCUACAAUUCUUACUUAUUUGUAUUCUGUGAUGAACUGAAAUGAGGCUUCAAAUAAGAGAAUUAUUUAUUUUAUUAAUGAAAUGCACUACAGUGGUAUUCCAUGCUGUUGGUUUGCAUAAAAUUUGAAAAUAAUUUUAAAGCAUUUCCCACUGUUUUUAAAUGUUUCUUAAAAUCUAAUGAAAUUUUAUUCUGUAAUUUUGAAAACCCAGUUACUCCAGCUUUUAAAUACAAAAUUAAAUGUUUGUGGUGUUACCUAUCCAGUAGUUCAAGAAAAUACACUAAAAUGUUCGUAUUGUUUAAAAUAAGACAUCAACAGAGGAGAAAGAACUAUACUAUGAGAUAUAUAUUUUCAAAUCAAAUCAUAGAUAUAAAAAAUCCUGUUUCUUCUAUAAUUGGAAGCAUAAAGUUAUAUCUGUGUUUGCUAUUUAUUUCUGCCCUUAAAUUUGUCCAGUUUUACAAACUGUAAGUUAUAAUUUCCUCUGAAUAUCAGCCGAAGAUUUAGGAUAGCUCCACUAUUAAUAGAAUAUGUCAACCGAUCUCUAUUUAUAAAGUCAUCAAACCCCAGUUUGUUUCCACCUGACCAGGCUCCAAAAGGGUGAAAGCAGCAGGAAAGUUUGUAUACUACAGUACAAAGGAACUACAAAUGGGUCAAGAGCAAACUGCAUAGAAAGAGGCACAAUGUGAGUGCCCAUGUGUGGCAACUUGCUCGUCUAGACGCGUAUAGAAUAGCUAACUCACAAGGUAAAAUUUCCAGAUUAUGCUAAAGCUUUAUUUAAUCCUUUCCCUAUCAUUCCUUCUGUGUGUUUCAGAAUAAUUUUUAUAAAUGAUUAUAAAAUAAAAUAAUGUAUGUGAAUAUAUAAACAAUACAUAUUGUAAAAUAAUAUAAUGAUAUGUUAAUUAUAUAUAAUAAUGUAAUGAUUGCCCUACACCAAGGAGAUAUGCCCAAUAGAUGUGCCUUUAAUUUAUGUAUCUAGUUUAUAGUUUUCUAUAUCUUCCCUUAUAGUCAUGCUAGCCAUUAUCUUUUCUUAUUUCUUUAUGCUAUUUAUUAGCUCUUCAACCUCUGAAAUGUUUGUUAAUGCUUUGUCUAAAGCAGAAACAAAUUCUUA